UGACUGCUAUGUGGCCAAGGGUGAC
rnacentral:piRNA from 1 species